rnacentral:rRNA from 1 species
GUGGGGAAUCUUCCGCAAUGGACGAAAGUCUGACGGAGCAACGCCGCGUGAGUGAAGACGGCCUUCGGGUUGUAAAGCUCUGUUAAUCGGGACGAAAGGUCCGCUUGUGAAUAAUGAGUGGAAUUGACGGUACCGGAAUAGAAAGCCACGGCUAACUACGUGCCAGCAGCCGCGGUAAUACGUAGGUGGCAAGCGUUGUCCGGAAUUAUUGGGCGUAAAGCGCGCGCAGGCGGAUCAGCCAGUCUGUCUUAAAAGUUCGGGGCUUAACCCCGUGAGGGGAUGGAAACUACUGAUCUAGAGUAUCGGAGAGGAAAGUGGAAUUCCUAGUGUAGCGGUGAAAUGCGUAGAUAUUAGGAAGAACACCAGUGGCGAAGGCGACUUUCUGGACGAAAACUGACGCUGAGGCGCGAAAGCCAGGGGAGCGAACGGGAUUAGAAACCCUAGUAGUCC